UCCGUUAUGGUCUAGGUAAGCUCUUCCAUCCACCCGUUUCACCAACAUCAUCUAACCAUCUACAAGUGGCUAGGAUACAUCGCUCUCAUUAGCAAGUGCCGAUGUGGCCGGGGUUCGAUUCCCCGUGACGGAA